AGAGUUUGAUCAUGGCUCAGAUUGAACGCUGGCGGCAUGCCUUACACAUGCAAGUCGAACGCGAAAGGGGGCAACCCCGAGUAGAGUGGCGAACGGGUGAGCAAUACAUCGGAACAUUUCCUGUAGCGGGGGACAACCCCGAGAAAUCGGGGCUAAUACCGCAUACGAUCUACGGAUGAAAGUGGGGGACCGCAAGGCCUCACACUAUAGGAGUGGCCGAUGCCGGAUUAGCUAGUUGGUGGGGUAAUGGCCUACCAAGGCGACGAUCCGUAGCUGGUUUGAGAGAACGACCAGCCACACUGGGACUGAGACACGGCCCAGACUCCUACGGGAGGCAGCAGUGGGGAAUUUUGGACAAUGGGCGCAAGCCUGAUCCAGCCAUGCCGCGUGAGUGAAGAAGGCCUUCGGGUUGUAAAGCUCUUUCGGCCGGGACGAAAUGGCGUGGGGUAACAUCCCGCGUCGAUGACGGUACCGGAAGAAGAAGGACCGGCUAACUACGUGCCAGCAGCCGCGGUAAUACGUAGGGUCCAAGCGUUAAUCGGAAUUACUGGCNNNNAGCGUGUGCAGGCGGUUUCGAAAGUCCGAUGUGAAAUCCCCGGGCUUAACCUGGGAACUGCGUUGGAAACUACGAGGCUAGAGUGCGGCAGAGGGGGGUGGAAUUCCAGGUGUAGCAGUGAAAUGCGUAGAGAUCUGGAGGAACACCGAUGGCGAAGGCAGCCCCCUGGGUUAGCACUGACGCUCAUACACGAAAGCGUGGGGAGCAAACAGGAUUAGAUACCCUAGUAGUCC
rnacentral:rRNA from 1 species